CAUAGCGACUAUCGUGGCAUAUCAAUAAGCGGAGGAAAAGAAACUAACUAGGAUUCCCUCAGUAACGGCGAGUGAAGCGGGAAGAGCUCAAAUUUGAAAUCUUCAAGGUUCUACCUUGACGAAUUGUAGUUUAAAGAAGUGUUUUCUGUUGGAGUUUUGGUAAAAGUUCUUUGGAAUAGGACAUCAUAGAGGGUGAGAAUCCCGUAUUUGACCAUUAUUUCCAACUUUGUGAUACACUUUCAAAGAGUCGGAUUGUUUGGGAAUGCAGUCCAAAAUGGGUGGUAAAUUUCAUCUAAAGCUAAAUAUUGGCGAGAGACCGAUAGCGAACAAGUACCGUGAGGGAAAGAUGAAAAGAACUUUGAAAAGAGAGUUAAACAGUACGUGAAAUUGUCAAAAGGGAAGCGUUUGACACCAGUGUUGUUUAGUUGAAAAUCAAUUCAAUAAUUUUUGAUUUUGAGUAGUAUUGACUUCAUCAGCUUGCUGCUUUCUUUUCAGGAAAUUAUUGAAUGCACUUUUCAGUUAACAAGUCAACAUCAAUUUCUUUUGUUGUAAAAGGGUAAGAGGAAGGUGGCUUGACGUUCGGCGUAAGUGUUUAUAGCCUUUUACCUCUGCAAUCGGAGAGAUUGAGGUCAUGCAGCGUAGGACUCCUUCGGGGUUAGAUACAUUUGUGCUAAGUUAUAGUUUUUCAUAGACAACCUGUUGACUAUGAUUAAUCAUGUAGCUUACUCGCUUAUGCUAUUUUACCUACGCUUAGGAUGUUGAUAGUCACAGCGUGUAC
rnacentral:rRNA from 1 species